UACGUAGGGGGCUAGCGUUGUCCGGAAUCAUUGGGCGUAAAGAGCGUGUAGGCGGUCCGGUAAGUCCGCUGUGAAAGUCGGGGGCUCAACCCUCGAAUGCCGGUGGAUACUGUCGGGCUAGAGUGCGGAAGAGGCGAGUGGAAUUCCUGGUGUAGCGGUGAAAUGCGCAGAUAUCAGGAGGAACACCUAUUGCGAAGGCAGCUCGCUGGGACGUUACUGACGCUGAGACGCGAAAGUGUGGGGAGCAAACAGG
rnacentral:rRNA from 1 species